rnacentral:rRNA from 1 species
GUUAUUGGAGGAAAGCAGGGGAUCGCAAGACCUUGCGCUUUUGGAGCGGCCGAUGUCUGAUUAGCUAGUUGGUAGGGUAAAGGCUUACCAAGGCAACGAUCAGUAGUUGGUCUGAGAGGACGACCAGCCACACUGGGACUGAGACACGGCCCAGACUCCUACGGGAGGCAGCAGUGGGGAAUUUUGGACAAUGGGCGAAAGCCUGAUCCUGCCGUGCCGCGUGAGUGAAGAAGGCCCUCGGGUUGUAAAGCUCUUUCAGUCGAGAAGAAAAAAUUGCGACUAAUAAUCGCAAUUCAUGACGGUAUCGACAGAAGAAGCACCGGCUAACUACGUGCCAGCAGCCGCGGUAAUACGUAGGGUGCUAAGCGUUAAUCGGAAUUACUGGGCGUAAAGGGUGCGCAGGCGGCCUUGUAAGUCAGAUGUGA